CUCAGCUGACCUCAAGUAUUUGCAUGUUAUGUAUAACCCUGUCUGGGCAGGGCUACAGUCAUAUAAGAUUUUGUUUCUUUCAUCAUGAUGGUAUGAGGACAGCAUUAUGCAUCAACAGCUACAAGAAUCUUUCCUGAGAAACUGAAACCUAAGAGGAACAAUGAUACAGACAACAUUACCUUUAGACAAGAAUGCUCCUCAAAAAAUAUUCAUCUAGAAGAUAUAGAUAGUACACUUGUACACAGAACAGUGGAGUAACAAUAACAACACACCUAAAUGACAAAAUAAGACAGAGUGGUAAUAACAAGAAAGACACUGUAAUGUUGGGCACUUAAGGGACAAGUAACAGAAAACUUUAACAUGUAUUUAUUGUCUUAAACAAGAAGCAAAAUAUGCCAGUUUCAUCAAUAAUCACAGUUGUGUGUCAGAGACAGACCAUGUGAAUAAAAUCUGUGAAUUUUUAUUUACUACUACAAACUUUGGAAUUAUUUUUGUAUCACUUUACAAGCUCAAAAUCUUAUUGACCCUUAAUGACCUCUUACAUGCUUCUGUCUAUUGUUUUCCAAUGUUCCAAUUAUACACAACUCCAUCUCAGAAAUGUUCUGUGACGCCCUCUUUUGUUCAGGCUCUAACAAAGUUUUGCUUCUCAAGAAGUCACAGCCGAUCCUCCCAUAUAAGGCGCAGCAGCACCACAGCUGCUCACACUACAUCACACAAAGUGAAAAAGCAAUGGGUUUACGUAUGGCUGGUCUGUCAACAGCUGCCACUGCAGGCGUGGCCGGAGCUGGAGGAGCAGCAGGAGGACUGCUGGCUCUGCUCAUCUGAGACCAAGCUGAAGAUCAUGAAGGAAUCAAAUACAAGGAAGAAUACAUUUACUUUUGCCAAAUAGAAACAACUGCAACUUACAUUAAUGAAGUAGAUAAUUUACUGAAGGAGAAGUUAUGUGCAUUUAACUGAAAUGUGAGGACAAAAACAUGUUUUGUUUGUCUGCAAAACACGUUUACAUUGUCGAGUGCACCAGCUUUCAUAUAUGGCAAUAAAAUGCAUUUGAAAAGUU